GCACCUUAGAGACCAACUAAGUUUGUUCUUGGUAUGAGCUUUCGUGUGCAUGAAAGCUCAUACCAAGAACAAACUUAGUUGGUCUCUAAGGUGC
rnacentral:miRNA from 1 species